rnacentral:rRNA from 1 species
AGAGCGGUAGCCCGGAGAUGGGCACUGAGACAAGGGCCCAGGCCCUACGGGGCGCAGCAGUCGCGAAAACUCCGCAAUGCACGAAAGUGUGACGGGGCUACCCCGAGUGCCGUCCGCUGAGGAUGGCUUUUCCUCGGUGUAACUAGCCGGGGGAAUAAGGAGAGGGCAGGACUGGUGUCAGCCGCCGCGGUAAUACCAGCUCUCCGAGUGGUAGGGAUGAUUAUUGGGCUUAAAGCGUCCGUAGCCAGCUUAGCAAGUUUCCUGUUAAACUCAGCGACCUAAUCGUUGAAUCGCGGGAAAUACUACUAGGCUAGGAGGCGGGAGAGGUCGACGGUACUUCCGGGGUAGGGGUGAAAUCCUAUAAUCCCGGGAGGACCACCAGUGGCGAAGGCUGUCGGCU